rnacentral:rRNA from 1 species
GAUGAACGCUAGCGGCAGGCCUAAUACAUGCAAGUCGAACGGAUAUAUGUUUUUCGGAAUAUAUAUUAGUGGCGCACGGGUGAGUAACACGUACAUAACUUGCCCUCAAGCGGGGGAUAGCCUUGGGAAACUGAGAGUAAUACCCCAUAGAAUUAUUGGACGGCAUCGUUUGAUAAUUAAAACUACGGUGCUUGGGGAUAGAUGUGCGUCUGAUUAGCUAGUUGGUGAGGUAACUGCUCACCAAGGCGACGAUCAGUAGGGGGCGUGAGAGCGUGGCCCCCCACACGGGUACUGAGACACGGACCCGACUCCUACGGGAGGCAGCAGUAAGGAUAUUGGUCAAUGGAGGGAACUCUGAACCAGCCAUGCCGCGUGAAGGAUGACGGCCCUCUGGGUUGUAAACUUCUUUUGGAUGGGGACGAAAAAACGGGUUUAUCCUGGACUGACGGUACCAUCAGAAUAAGCACCGGCUAACUCCGUGCCAGCAGCCGCGGUAAGCUAGUCUACG